GAAAGCUGGUGCCAUCUCUCGUGGUCUGGACAACGGUUUACUGUGGGGUUGUGGAAAGGUUGCUUGGAGAAGGGAAAUAAACACUGGAUUUGUUCUCGCAAAUUCGCCCGCAGUGUCGUGUUUGGUGUCACCUGGGGCGUAGGUCCACAAGUGCUAAUUACGGUAUCCUUGGUCCUCUUACUAGUUAUACAGAUAUUGGCAGUUGGUUACACGUGCGUUCCCCGGUUAUCACCCUAUCGACUACGUCUCCUGGAGAUAACAUGUGGACUGUGUAUAUUAGCAGGUUUGCUUACCUUGUUAGGAUUGAUCUUAUUCGGCUGUGAGAUAAACAAUUACCCAGAAGAGAGUAAUCCUCGGAUUGCCUGGUCAUUCGGCAUGUGUGUUCUAUCUCUACUCCUUAUCUCAGCUACAGCCGCCAUUGUUUUUCUGGACAGGAAACUGGAGUACUAUGGGCUGCAGUACCAAAGACAAUCCAUUGUUAUGGAGCCCAUGUCGGAACACGUUCGGUACUAAAUCGUCAUUAUAACUGUGAUAUGUUACUAUUAAAAAGAUUGACCACGGAAUCAUCAGAUAAAACACCUGUUCCACCUUUUACAUUUUGUGAUUGGCAGGAAGACAUUCCGGAAACUGUAAAGCGACAAUUGUUACACGCAGUUUAACUACAUAACAGUCAAUGACCAGCUCAUGGAUAACAGUAGCCUUGUUUUUGUUUGAUGCGUUUGUAACUAUGCGUGUCACACCUGCUACCAAUUUGCUCACAAGACGCCAAGAGAUCACUGCAAAAUAUGGUGUCAUGUAAGCUGGAAUAUGUUGAAGAAUGAGGAUAUCGAAUUGUUAUUUAACAGAAGCAAGUCUUUAAUGGAGCCUGCUUGUCGAAAAUGAUGCACAGUUAAAACCUCACAAAGUUGGCGUAGUUUAAUUGUACACAUUUUUCGUUUUAUAACAUUUCUUUCAUGACCUAACAUUCGAGAAACCAUGCAAAGUGUAUUCUCGGAAAUUCACGAAAGCUGUCUAAGAACAAAAAAUACCCUGCAACUUUCUUCACCCUAUCAAACUGAAUUUUACAAACGAAAAUGAAUAUUUUUGUAAGCCAGACAUAUGGCAUGACCUGGAGGAUUACUUGAGCGUCACAGCUCGCUUGUUCUAUGACUGCCCUGACUGGUAAAUAAAGACAUUAGAGUAUUUUCAGGUUUCCGUUGGAUUUUUGCACGUAUAUUUCUCAAUUUUUGUAUUGGACAUCAAUGUGGGAAAUUUCCCGAGUGCACUCACAAUGUAAGGUGAAAAAUGGCUUAUUUUGUCAAUAA